AGUCCUGGCGUCACGGAGUGAACGCGUGGCGGCGAUGCCUUACACAUGCAAGUCGGACGGGAAGUGGUGUUCCUAGUGGCGGACGGGUGGAGGUAACGCGUAAGAACGUAACCCUUACGGGAGGGGAACGAACAAGACUGAAACGGCUGCUAAUACCCCGUACGGCUGAGGAAGGCAAAAGGAGGAAUACCGCCCGACGGAGGGGCGUCGCGUCUGAUUAGCUAGUUGGUGAGGCAAUAGCUUACCAAGGCGAUGAUCAGUAGCUGGUCCGAGAGGAUGAUCAGCCACACUGGGACUGAGACACGGCCCAGACUCCUACGGGAGGCAGCAGUGGGGAAUUUUCCGCAAUGGGCGAAAGCCUGACGGAGCAAUGCCGCGUGAAGGUAGAAUGCCUACGGGUCAUGAACUUCUUUUCCCGGAGAAGAGGCAAUGACGGUAUCCGGGGAAUAAGCAUCGGCUAACUCUGUG
rnacentral:rRNA from 1 species